rnacentral:lncRNA from 1 species
AAAAAUUAAAAGAGCUGGUUAUGUGGCUCAGUGGUAAAGUGCCCCUGAGGUUAAUCCCCAGUACCCAUCCGUAUUUUUUUUAAUUUACCCUUAGGAGACAUGAGAAGGCAUUUGUGAUUUAUAAAGCAAUGAAUAUGUAUAUUUUUAUCUAAAAAUCCUGGGUCCAUUGCUUGCUAGUGCUCCAAGGAAAGAAGAUGGUGCCUACAGGAGCUCUGGGCAGAGAACUAACAACUGCAGGAGUGCCUCUGGGGCAGCACAAUCUCGUCCAGUCUUCUGAUGAUUGGAACUUACAAAGUCAUCCUCCACAAACACUCGUGAACCACCCACUGGCCUCUGCUACUUUGAUUUUUCUGCAGUAACUUUAAUCUGACUCUUGAAGCUGACCUUGACCUUCCCACUCUCUCUGGCUACUGUGGUUUGGAUCUGGAAGGUCUCCAGCAAAACUCACGUGUCAGGAACGCAGUAAGGUCAGAGGUAAGUGAGCAGAUCAGGAAGGCUGGGAUCGCCUCAGAGGACUAACCCACGUGAUGCGCAUGAUCUGACUGGACCACUGAGCGGGAACAGUAGGCAGGUGGGGCACGGCUGCAGGAAUUAGGUCACUGGGAGUGGCCUUGGGGACUGUAUCUGUCCCUGGCCUAUAUCUUCUCUCUCCCCCACUCCUCUUCCUCUCUCUUCUUUCUCUUCUCUACUCCUGUCCCCCACCCCCGCCUUCCAGGCUGCCAUGACCUGAGAAGCUUUCCUCUUCCCUCCACCAUGCCCUUCUGCCAUGAUGCUCUGCCUCACCUCAGGCCCAGAGCACUGGAGUCAGCUGACCAUUGACUGAGAUCUCUGAAACCAUGAGCUCAAAGUCAUCUUCUCCCCCUCUAAGUUUUUCUUAUCAGGUGCAUGGGCCACAGUGAUGCAAAGCUGAUGAACACUUGGCCAGGUGCUGCAUGGGCCCACAUCAGCCUCCCCAGAAUGCUGGUUUAGCAUCCUCGUAGGACCAGCUCCCACCAGUCUCAGGCACUGGUCUUACACACUGUUGUCAUGGUUACCUUCACAGUGUUAAUCACAAGCCUUCUUCAAAAACCAUCAAGACAGCUCCCUAUGCUCACUCUGCCUCUUCCUCCCCAGGGCUCCUCCUCAACUCCCUUCUCAAGCCAGCCUGGCUGGUGACCGCAUCCCUUAUCUAUCAAUCUGUCCAUUUUCUGUUGCUGUUUAAGAAACCUUAUGGCUGGAUGACUUAUAUAGAAAGAUGUCUGUGCAGCUCCCAGUUUUGGAGGCUGAAACUCCAAGUGGCAUGGUGCCAGCUCUGGCAAGGACCCCUCAUUAUGUCACAUCAUGGUGGAUGGCAUCACCAUGGGAACACAAGCUAGAGGGCAAGACCACAUGGUAAGGCAGGAAACCAGAGAGCAGGGAGGAACCAGUCUCACUCCUUUUAAAAAAAAAAAAACCCUCUCGUGACUAACCAGAGUCCCAUGAGAACUAUAUUAAUUCCUGCCAAGGACAGCACCCCCCAGUGACCUAAUAACUUCCCACUAGGACUCACCCCUUAAAGGUCCCAUCACUCCCACAUCACCAUGCCAGGACAAAGCUUCUAACACACAACCCUCAGGACAAACCACAUACAAACCAUGCACAAUUCCGACAGGCAAAGUGUCGGGGGCUGUCAUGCUGAGUGACCAGCAUUUUCCUUCCCAUGAUCGGUAGAGGCUCUGUUGGUCACUUUCGUAGUGAUCUGGCCACAUUCAUAGUGGCCCUAGACGGCUGCCCCGAUCCUCAAAGUAGCAGAAUGUGUCUUCAUGCAUAGGCGCUCCUACAUGCAUCCCCAUGGAUCGAGCUACGCUCACCCGCUCCUUUGUGAUAUUACCCGCUUGCCCUAUUUGGGAUAGAAUGUUCCAUGGAAACUCCCUUUGUGUGUCCCCUUCUCUUACUCUGCCCUUGGGUGUGGCCUUCCUAGAUGUCAGUCCAACCUGCUAACAGCAGACAUCAUGAAGUGUGGAGAGCCAUUCUCACACGUGACUGGGCGACUCCCGGUUUGGGUCUGAGGCGUUCUGGCUGUGUCGGAACUUUCCCGGCCCUCUCCUAAUGAGAGAACCCGUCCGUGUGGGGGUGUGACUGACCACUGACCCCGGGGGCCCAAUCACUGACCCUGACCUUGGAGUGCGGCCCCCCCUCAACCUUCAUUGGAUGGAAUUUACCCUGAAUUUCUUGUUCCCCAAUAAAAGGCUACUCCCUGGCGUGCUCGCUCUCUCUCUCUCCUGCUUGCCCUGAGUAAUCCUUGCUGCCCUACGGGUGGUUCGAGGUUGGAGCCAGAGAGGGGAGCCGUCUUGGACCUGGUCAUAGAAAAA